GGGAGGAGUAAAACCCGCACUUGCGCACGCCUAGUAGGCACUACCGACCUGGAAGAGUUGGGGGCGGGAAAGUUUAUACCUGCGCGGCUCUUGGACACGGGCCAGAGAGGCAGGUGCGCAUGCGCGCGGGGAGGUGUGGCCACCCUGGCGCCGCAUGCGCAUUCCUCCACCUACGACCCGGGUCCUUCCCGAGAAGUGGUUGGCCGGCGCAUGCGCGCUGCUCCGGGGGAGGAGGGUUUGGCAGGGAGGCAGAGCGGCUGCUGGCUCUGGGCGCAGGGCAUUAUGGGAUCGCGGCGGAGCCAGGAGACCCUGAGGGGCCCGAGCUGCAGGAGAAGUGCUGCAAGCAACACGGAGAUCAUCACAUAGCCUUCUUUGACCUGACUUAAGGCUUUUGAUUCAAUCUACAGAGAGGUCCUAUGGAAGAUCCUAAUGAGAUAUGAAUGCUUGCAAAAUGUGUUACCAUUCUCAGACUUCUUUGGGAUGACAUGACAGCAACAGCCUAAACAAUGUCUCAAAAUGACCCCAUAACUAUUAGAAGCGGAGUCAAGCAAGGGUGUGGACUUGCACUGACUCUCUUUUCCAUCUCUACUGUAGCUAUGCCACAUCUCUCUGUUGACUAGACUUCCACCUGGAGUCAGCAUCCAGUAGUGCAUGGAUGGGAAUCCUUUAACAUCAAUGGGUUAUGUUCCAAAUCCAAGAUAACCAAACACCUUCAUUACUGGUUUUCUGUAAGCUGGUGAUUGUCUUGCAUGCCCAGUCAGUUCAGGAGCUCUGGAUCAAACUUGAUUGCUUCUGUGAGGUAUAUGAAAUACUUGAACUCACUACCAGCUUUAUGAAAACCAAGAUACUUUACCAAGCUAAGCCAGCUCAAUCAGUCGCUCAUCCACAAUUAGAGAGCAAUCCUUGGAGAAUGUUGAGAAUUUCCCCUACCUUUCCCAAAAACUAAACAUGGCCACUGAUAUUCAGUACCAAAGUCUGCCAGGGCUGUCUUUGGACAUCUCCAAAAUUGUGUCCUCCAUGAUCAUGACGUCAGGACCCAAAUCAAACUUCUCCUCUAUCAAGCUGUUGUCACCUCAACCCUGUCUUAUUGGUGUAAAAUUUGGAUGACAUAUCAGAAACACCUGAAAGCCUUGAAAAGUUACCACCAGUGAUGUCUUUGGAAAAUCCUCCAUAUUAGUUGGAAGGACAGAAGAACAAAUGUCAGCGUUCUGGCUCAAGGAGACACCACCAGCAUUACAGCCAUGUUUAUAUGUCACCGGCUCCACUGGACAGGACAUAUCAUAAAGAUGUCAGACAACUGGCGCCCAAAAUAGGUCCCAGACUCCCACCUCACCAGUGGUCGCUAUUCUACAGGUAGUCAGAAGAAGAGGGUGAAGGACACCUCGAAGGCUAACAUGAAGAAAUGUUAGUAACAUCAAUGCUUCAGCGCGGGGAGACUUGAGAGCCCCCGUGGUGUUGUGAUGUGUGGAAAGGCAUUGAUCGUUUCCAAGAAACUCGCCUCACUAUAGAGGCAGAUAGAUGAGAGAGACAAAGGGAAAAAAGAGCUGUAACCCAACAUUACCAGGAUAUGCUCCUUCCCCGCAAACUUUUCUAUGUCUGAAGUCAAAUGUACAGAUCUUCAAUGAUCUAUGAACUCACAGAUGAUGUCGUCCCUAUUUCCUGGAAAAUUUGCUGCCUCGUAUCAAGAAACUGCUGCAGCAGAAAGAGAGGGGCUAUGUCCUUCACUACUAAAAUAAAGAAAAGCACCUGGACUGGAAAGGGUGGGGGGGUGGGCAUGGAAUAAAUAUCAGCAACGCUGCACCUCCAUUCAUCACACAGGGGUUGGAUUGCGACGCUGGGAUUAAUUUGGAGAGAAGGGGACCAUCAGCCUGAAUUGAUGAAGGCAUGAGGGUCUCCCAUCCCUAACUGCCUAGGUCCAGACCUAUUCCAUUUCUUAGCCUGAAUGGCUCCCUUUUCCCUUCCCCACCAUUGCAACAAGCUAUGAAAGACUUAAGAGGAGUUUAUACAAAUUACAGCAGAUGAAACAUAAGUGGGGGGAAGAAGGGGACAGCAUGGGUAACAUGAGAAUGAGCAUCUAUUGCAACGCACCGAGCCAGAUGGGGGACAGGGAAAACAGCAAGGACAAUGUCCUCCUUUUAUACAGGCCAUGCAACCAGGGAAUGGGGGAAGGAAAAGAGCAAAGGUGAUGUCAUAACCUUUGUCCAUUACAGAUGACCAAUCCAGGUUUGGGGAACAGCAAGGAUGAUGUCAUAAUGGAGACUCAAUACAGACCUCCAAACAGGCUGGGGGAAGGGCAAACUACAAGGGUGAGGUCAUAAUGUAUCUCUAAAACACAUUGCCAAACCAGGGAGUUGGCAGGAGGGGAAAAUAGCAAGGACAUUAUCAGAAUGGGUGUCUGUUAGAGAUCUCCAAACUGGGAAGGCUGGGAAAAGCAAUGAUGACAUUGCAAUGGAUGUCUCUCAGAGAUUUUCAAAGAGUCAGGGGGACGGGAACACAGCAGGGAUGUUGCCACAAUGUGUGUCUGUUACAGACCAUCAAAUGGGGGAGGAAAGAGGAGGAAGCUUUAUUAAGCCACUGUCCAAGGCUUCCAUACUGCAGACUGUGAGAGAAAGACCAACAAAAGUGUCAGCUCCUCAAUGAACACAGAGAGGAAUCAAGUAAAGGGGAAGUGGAGAAGGCUGACAGAAAUAGUCAGGGAACAUGAACGUGGCGGAAGGAUCUGUGUGCACAGUUCCCAAGUUUGCAAAGGACCCCGCAGAGGACAGGAAGCUACCAAAUGGUCUUAAAUUGCAACAACAGGAGCUUAGGCUGAAUAUCAGGCCUAUGAUUUGAUUACUCAGUCAAUGCAGUGUCCCACCCAUCCUCCGUCCCGUAUCUUCUCUGUCUGCAACUUCUCCUCCAGCUGAGAUUUCAGGUACUUCCAGGUUGCCAUGAUCCACAUUCGAGCAGAGAGGUGCAGAGGACAAGCUUCUGAUCCCGAGUGAAUUCGGCCAACUUUAAAGCAGGAGAUUUCCAGCAGAUUUGUCCAAAGGAAAAAUCAGUUGAUUCCCUGCAGUUGGGUCCCAGCAGUGGAAAAAAAGGACUGCUUCUGCACAGUUUAGCCCAAGAGCACAACAAAUCCUGAAGUCUCUGUGGAGAAGAGAGGAGCGGACAUGGUAUGUAGAGAGUGGGUGAGUUGAGCCCAGGAGGGGGAGGCCCCUCGCCCCAUGCCUUGCCCCAGAGCCAGGUAAUGCCCUCCCCUGAGGCAGAUCAGAGUUGGGGUCUCUUAGGGGGGAAAAGCACCUGCCCCUUUCUCCACAGCCACUCUGCACUCUCAUCACAGCCAUCUCUUCCACCCUCCUUGGCAUUGCCCUUCUCCUUCCUCAUACCAGGGCCACUGGGCUCUAGUCCUCACCUCAGCCAGGGCUGCCCCAUGGGCCAGCGCUUUCCAGUCCUCUGGCACUGCAGGCAGAGAGGGAUCAUGGGCACAGACUAGAGAGAGUAGCCAGAGGGCUGGAAAUGGACCCAGAGGCUGCCCCACAGAUCCACACUCGGUUGGGGGCACCGUGUGCCUAGAUGGAGCCAUGAGUCCUGAAAACAAGCAGACUAAAGAAAUGAGACUCCCAGGAACUCACCAGGGCUGCUGCCCUCGCCUGGGCACUCCAGGUCCCAGUGGCACCAGGGCAGCCGGGCAUCAUUGUGACAUCAGCCAGCUCCCAACAAAGGGCGGUGAGGCUGGCAGCGCAGAUCCCUCCCCCAGAGGACGUGAUUCUCACCCUCGUGCUCCAGGCUCCCUCCACAUGGGGAAAUAGUCCCCAUUCAAGGCCCAGGUUGAACCAACAAAACAGUGAGGACAAAACAGCAAGAAACAAUAAAGAGUAGGGAGAGAUGUUAUAAGGCCAUGGGACUUGUUGCAUUACCCAGUCUUUAUACCACCAACAGUUAAUCGACAUGUUAGCAAUGACUGCUUAAGUGUUAUCAAUAGGUAAUCACUAAAUUGUAUAUUUCCAAUGACAUUCAGUUUGCGUUGUUAAAUAUGAACAAUAAUACUAUGAGCAGAACAAUUUGAGAAUAUCUUUUCUUGGAGGGACUUGAAAUCUGGGAAGAGACAGUGGAGAAGUAAGAUGCAGAUUCAGUAAGGGCAUCUUGUGCCCAAAAGCUUGUCAGCUGCAUUUCUUAAGUCUAGGGUUUGACUGAUAAAAUGUAUUGUCAAGCAAAUCCAUAGGACUCCCAGCUACACCCCACUACAAUGCUCACCCUAAUGUGCACACAUGUUUCUAUCACAGAUGUAGAGCUCUUCCUCAGUACUGAAUGAUGAAGAUGGGAUGCACUGCGUGUCCAUGUCACUGCUCCCCAAUCUGGUGUGGGACUGCCCCUCUGCUCUGCAGGAUCACUUCCUCACUCCUGACCCUGCACUGUUGGUAUUUUUCAGGCAGUCGGAUCCUUCUGCUUUGGGGGACCAGGACUCCCUCCCUGUGAUUGAAGAUGGACUCGAGGAGGACGCCUCCAGACCUAAGGUUGAUGAGGACUGGGUUAGAGUGCUUCUGGAGGGGCUGGACAUGUUCAAAUCAUCAGGUCCAGAUGCUCUCCACCCCAGGGUGUUGAGGGAGCUAGCAGGGGUUAUUGCAGAGCCCUUGGCACAGCUUUACGAGAGCUCGUGGUGCUUGGGCCAGGUGCCAGAUGAUUGGAAGAUAGCCAGUGUAGUCCCCAUCUUUAAGAAAGGGAGGAGGGAGGACCCAGGAAACUAGGCCCAUCAGUCUUACCUCAAUCCUGGGGAAACUCUUUGAGAAGAUCAUCAAGGAACACAUCUGUGAUGGGCCGGCAUUGGGGAUGAUGCUCAAGGGCAACCAGCAAGGUUUCAUUAGGGGCAGGUCAUGUCAGACCAACUUGAUUGCCUUUUACAAUCAGGUCACAAAAGCACUGGAUGCAGGUGUCACCACUGAUGUAGUCUUUCUGGACUUCAGCAAGGCCUUUGACACUGUUGACCACCCUAUCCUCAUUAAAAAAACUGGGUGACUGUGGCAUUGCUGCCUACACAGUCAGAUGGAUUGCAAA